GAUGAAGAACGCAGCGAAAUGCGAUAAGUAGUGUGAAUUGCAGAAUUCAGUGAAUCAUCGAAUCUUUGAACGCACAUUGCGCCCCUUGGUAUUCCAUGGGGCAUGCCUGUUCGAGCGUCAUUUGUACCUUCAAGCCUUGCUUGGUGUUGGGUAUUUGUCUCGCCUCUGCGCGCAGACUCGCCUCAAAACAAUUGGCAGCCGGCGUAUUGAUUUCGGAGCGCAGUACAUCUCGCGCUUUGCACUCAGAACGACGACGUCCAAAAGUACAUUUUUACACUCUUGACCUCGGAUCAGGUAGGGAUACCCGCUGAACUUAAGCAUAUCAAUAAGCGGAGGA
rnacentral:misc_RNA from 1 species